rnacentral:rRNA from 1 species
GAUGAACGCUAGCGGCAGGCCUAAUACAUGCAAGUCGGACGGGAUCCAUUGAUAGCUUGCUAUCAAUGGUGAGAGUGGCGCACGGGUGCGUAACGCGUGAGCAACCUGCCUCCAUCAGGGGGAUAGCCUCUCGAAAGAGAGAUUAACACCGCAUAAUAUCAACAGUUCGCAUGUUCAGUUGAUUAAAUAUUUAUAGGAUGGAGAUGGGCUCGCGUGACAUUAGCUAGUUGGUAGGGUAACGGCUUACCAAGGCGACGAUGUCUAGGGGCUCUGAGAGGAGAAUCCCCCACACUGGUACUGAGGCACUGACCAGACUCCUAGGGGAGGCAGCAGUAAGGAAUGUUAGUCGAUGGGCGGAAGCCUGAACCAGCCAUGCCGCGUGCAAGAUGACUGCCCUAUGGGUUGUAGACUGCUUUUGUCCAGGAAUAAACCUAGAUACGGGUAUUUAGCUGAAUGUACUGGAAGAGUAAGGAUCGGCUAACUCCGUG